CGAAUGCUGUGGAACUUGAUGUCACAGUAAAAAGACUGACAAUAAGCCUCAAAAUUUGCCAUAUGGAAAGCCUCUAUCCUGCACCUUACUCCGAGAAGCUUUAGAAGCUUUAUUCAAGAAAUACUGCUGUAAGGCAGAGGAGCUGGCCAUGAUGGGAUCCACUCAAGUCAAUGAGAAUUUUAACCAUAUGGUCUCCACUAAAGCUCCAAAAACAUUCUGAACAAGAAAAUGGCAUUGUCGCCUGGCAAUUUCAGAAUGAAGCAUACCAUCAGACUUGCCAACAAGCUCAAACGGAAGCGUCUCAUGCAGAGUUUACUGGCCACCAAGAGACGUUGAUUGGAAUUAAAAGCCACCAGGUUGUCUAAAGAAGCAGCGAGGAAUGUUCUAGAAGGACAAUCAUAUAAGUCAGAUAUUGGUCUUGAGGAGGAUGUUGAUCUUGACAACAUUGAUCCAGAGCCCCUUAUGAUUUCUCCAGAGAGCAGCUGCUUCAUGUAUUUUGAUUUAGAAACUACCGGACUUAGUAGAACUUCUGACAUCAUACAGAUUGCUGCAGUUUGUGAAGAUAGGUCAUUCAAUGUUUAUCUGAACCGCCAGUGUACAAAUCUUUAAGGAAGC